UAUUCUACUCUUUUUGGACAAAGGAAUAAAGGAGUCAAAAGAUGAGAUGAUUUCCUUUGGUCAUGCUCCCUGUAACUCUUUUAUUCUCUUCAUCUUUUGCCUAUCUAUGAUCAUGCAUGAUUGGGACUUCCUUUUGUAUCCUUAUGACCCUUUGAUUAUUCUUCUAGUCUUUUUAUUAUCAGUGUGUUCUCCACAUUGAGCGCAUUCAUCUCUUCUUCAUUCUUCUUUCUCAAUUCAAACAUUUGAUAUUGUCGUUCAAGUAACAAUGUUAUAUUCCCUCCAUUAUGAUUACUAUGAACCUUAUCCUCUUAUCACUUUUCUUGUUAACCAUGUUCUUCGUCUACACCAUGCAAUCUUCUAAGCACAUGUUAAUCUGAUGUGGCCAUCAAAUGUGCUUAAGAGGGACAAAAAUCUUCUUAUAAAACUUUACUUUAUCUCCUACUCAAUCUAAGAUUAUUUCUUAUCCUUCAACUAAU
rnacentral:lncRNA from 1 species